AUGGAAUAUACGAAGCUGUUACAGGAAGUGACUUUGUCAUUACUAGAGUUGCAUUUUGAGACAACUCUUCAAAGUACUACAUAAAUGACCGUAGAAGUAAUUUUACAGAGGUCACUAAGAAAUUGAAAGGAAAAGGAGUGGACUUGGACAACAAUCGGUUUUUGAUUCUUAAGGGUGAAGUCGAGCAAAUUUCUCUAAUGAAGCCAAAGAUUUGUAUUUUUAGCAUUAUUGUAAUUGUAAUUGAUUGAAUGAAGGAUUGUAAUUGACUGUAAUUGUAAUUGAUUGAAUGAAAGAUUGUAAUUGAUUGUAAUUGAAUGAAUGAAUGAUUGUAAUUGAUUGUAAUGGAAUGAAUGAAUGAUUAUGCAGGUGGUAAUUAAAUGAA